UACGUAGGGGGCAAGCGUUGUCCGGAAUUAUUGGGCGUAAAGAGCGCGUAGGCGGUCCGGUAAGUCAGCUGUGAAAGUCAAGGGCUCAACCCUUGAAAGCCGGCUGAUACUGCCGGACUAGAGUCCGGAAGAGGCGAGUGGAAUUCCCGGUGUAGCGGUGAAAUGCGCAGAUAUCGGGAGGAACACCAAUGGCGAAGGCAGCUCGCUGGGACGGUACUGACGCUGAGGCGCGAAAAGCGUGGGGAGCAAACAGG
rnacentral:rRNA from 1 species